CUCAUUUUUUUUUCCUUUUCCUUCGUCAACGUUUCUUAAGCUCAACAUAUUCACUCUACAUUUUCCCACUUCCUCAUCAAUGUUGUUGUUUUCUUCAUCUUAAACUGUCAAACAUUGAAGGAUAAUGAUGAGGAUUCGAAGGAUAUCCAACCACUACCACCUGAGAAUUUUUACUUCAAGCAAACCGAUUAUACAGGGUAGUGUAAGUUAUCAUCAAAGACUGAAGAUAUCCAUGGGAAAGGUGAGAAGAAUUAGUUUCGUUUGCAUCCAAAGUUUAAACACAUUUGGCACAUGCAUAGGGAAGAGAAUCAAAAUUAUACGUGUAUGUGGAAUAUUGGUUUUAAAAAGCGCGCUAAUGGAGCGCAAUGGCGCAUAGCGCACCGAAGCUCGAAGAAGAGGACAACAAGACAUGGAGGCGAGACGUGGAUGUUGUUGCUUCGCACAGUUUGUAUGAGAAAAGAUAGAUUAUGUUGUUUGUCGUUAAUGGCAUUCAUGUUCGGUAUUCGCUUAGGAAACAUGGCAUGUUGUGUAGAUUAGAAAGACUUCAAAGUGAUUUAAUAGAUGAAUGUUUGGUUUGUUUUUU